GGAGCCCGCUCGUCUUCUGGAGCCCGCCGGGAUGUCUUCGCCCUCCAACAGGGCAGCGACUGCGGAGCACAAGGAGGCGUUUCUCAGUGAUGGAGACGAGUUGCUGGUAGGCUUGGAUGCGGAGCUCGCUCAACGCGUGGGUCAGACUGCUGACAUCAAAGUCGACCACUUCAGGGUGUACCUCACCUCUCACCCAAAGUCAGCCGCAAUAAGCUUCAGCUCACUCGUGAC